CACGUAGGGGGCAAGCGUUGUCCGGAUUUAUUGGGCGUAAAGAGCUCGUAGGCGGUCUGUCGCGUCGGCUGUGAAAUCCCGAGGCUCAACCUCGGGUCUGCAGUCGAUACGGGCAAACUAGAGUAUUGCAGGGGAGACUGGAAUUCCUGGUGUAGCGGUGAAAUGCGCAGAUAUCAGGAGGAACACCGGUGGCGAAGGCGGGUCUCUGGGCAAUAACUGACGCUGAGGAGCGAAAGCGUGGGGAGCGAACAGG
rnacentral:rRNA from 1 species